UCCAUAACAUUGCGAGAGGGCAUCUGAUUGCAAUUAAAGUUUCGGCGGUAUAUGAUUGGUGUGCGUUUGAUUAGCUAGUUGGUAGGGUAACGGCCUACCAAGGCGACGAUCAAUAGCUGGCGUGAGAGCGCGACCAGCCACACUGGAACUGAGACACGGUCCAGACUCCUACGGGAGGCAGCAGUAGGGAAUAUUGGACAAUGGAGGAAACUCUGAUCCAGCCAUGCCGCGUGAUAGAUGAAGGCCCUCUGGGUUGUAAAUAUCUUUUAUCUGGGAAGAAACACUCCUAUUCUUAGGAACUUGACGGUACCAGAGGAAUAAGCACCGGCUAACUCCGUG
rnacentral:rRNA from 1 species